UACGUAGGGUGCGAGCGUUAAUCGGAAUUACUGGGCGUAAAGCGUGCGCAGGCGGUUUUGUAAGCCAGAUGUGAAAUCCCCGGGCUUAACCUGGGAAUGGCAUUUGGGACUGCAAGGCUCGAGUGCGGCAGAGGAGACUGGAAUUCCUGGUGUAGCAGUGAAAUGCGUAGAGAUGCGGAGGAACACCGAUGGCGAAGGCAGCCCCCUGGGCUGACACUGACGCUCAGGCACGAAAGCGUGGGGAGCAAACAGG
rnacentral:rRNA from 1 species